AAAUUCCAACUAUAAAUUCAUUGUGUAUCUUAAGAUAUCACCAAAAUCCUAACAAUAGCUUCAAACCCUAGUUUUUAUACAUCCAUAUGAAAAUUUCUUCAUAUCUCACAAACUAAGCACUCAAAUGCCACAAAUUUUGUAUGUAUAGCUUUUCAACACAAUUAUCUAUCUUUUCUAAAAGAUUUGAGCUAGAAAUUUACUUAGAAACUUAAGAUAUGGCCCCAACCAUUACUAUAAACAAAAUCACUUACUUAUUGCUUUUGAUUUGGAUGUGAUGACUUCUACCCUUUAUAACUUCUUUAUCCAAACUCCAAAUUCAUCAAAUAAUAUAUGAAAAAUAUAGUCAAAAAAAGGUUCUCUUUAACCUUAAUUGCCGAUCCUUCGUUGCUUUGUAUAAACAUAUGUUAUAUCCCAAAGAGUGAUAGUAGGUACAAAAU
rnacentral:lncRNA from 1 species